CCCUAUGGGGUGCAGCAGGCUCAACACUAAUGGUAUUAACUCCGGUAUUACUUGAUCCUGAAGUUCUCUUUCACUUUAUCAAUCGCCAUUAUUCUUAUAUUAAUUCUAAACCGAAGGGAACCGGGACACCUCAUGUAAAUCCUGACAUAUUCUGGAAAUUAAAGUUUCCUAUUGCUCCCAUCAACGAACAAAAACGUAUUGUCGCCAAACUGGACCAGAUAAUCCCUCGCAUUGACUUGGUAAAAGAGCGUCUGGUUAAAAUUCCUGCAAUAAUCAAACGGUUCCGACAGUCGGUGCUAACCUCUGCUGUAACAGGUAGAUUGUCGGAGAAUUGGCGGGAGGGC
rnacentral:rRNA from 1 species